UGCCAAAAUCAAGGUUACUCUUUUGUUACUUCUGUUCACCGCUUCUUUGUUUACAUCCUCCUAGGUUACAUAAGCUUUCCUGAUCGUAGCAAUGCAUGGGGAACUCCUCUCUUAGUAAAAUGCUUUGCGUGCUUUACCAGCACUGAAAAGAAAAAUAGUUAUAAUUGUGGAAGGUGGUUUUAAUGGUGGCCAUCAAAAAUAUCUUGGAUGUAGAAGCCAUUGCAGACUUUGCUGAUGGUUGUCUAACUGUCCAUUGUGUGUAUAUAUAUAUAUGUAUAUACACAAACACAUGGAAAAAAGAAUCACAACAGUUAAGCUAUGCCAGCUGAGAUAUUUCACACUGGACAGCUGUAAAUGCGAGAACUAGAAAAGCAUUUGAUUGCAGCUUUUGCCUACCUGAGGAAAAAGAAUUUGAAAAGCUCUUAAGAGCCCAACAGUGAAACUUCUGAAGAAUGAUUAUCUUCCCUCUCCUUUUGGGCCAAGCUGAGAGAAGAAAAGCAAGUAGGAUGCGGAUGUUUUUGUUUGUACAUGACCGCUGGAUGUAUCCAGUCUCUGAUGAAAUUCUUCUAGAGGAAAAAAAAAAAGAGAGAGAGAGAAAUAAAAGGAGGCUUUUGCUCUGCAGUUAGAUCUCUCAUUUGUGGGCAUCUGCCUACACACUUCUGCCUAUUUGAAGCAGAUCAACCCAUGUGAGCGCUACUGUGAUCAGAAUGGUGCACUUACAUACAGCCUUGCUGAUUUUGGUGAAGCAAAGGGUCUCCAAAGCUGUGCAGCAGUCACCAUGUCUUCUGUGGCAAGCUGUCCACUGAUAAAGCAAAAGAGAGGAAGAGUCCAGCUACUUCCCCUUAAAAUUACACUGAAAGUUACACAGUGCCACCAGCAUGCAGAAUCCCUUUCCAUGAUACUGUGCUCUGAGUAAGUCAAAAGAAUGACGUUUGACAGCUGUGACAUUCAUGGGCAACGCAUUUGAAAAAGAAGGCAUAAAUAUUCAGAGACAUAUUAGAAUGCUGUUCAAUCAGGUUUGACACCAAAGCAAGACCUGAUGCCACAGGGAUCAUCAGAAUCUAGUAAACAGAAAUAUCUAAGAAGAGCAGAUGCACAUUGUGUCUUCUAGGCAUCCUCUCAGUGGCAUGGUUGAAAUCCAGAUUCUGAUCACACAAGAUUCAGCCCAGAAGGGGAACUGCAUCCUGGGUUGCGUACCAGAAGGUCAAGGGAGGUGAUUCUGCUCCUCUACUCUGCUUUCAUGAGACUCCACCUGGACUACUGCGUCAAGUUCUGGAGCCUCCAAUGUAAGAAGGACAUUGAGCUGUUGGAGCAGGUCCAGAGGAGGGAUACAAAUAUGAUCAGAAGGCUGGAGCACCUCCCCUGCAAGAACAGGCUGAGAGAGCUGGGGGUCUUCAGCCUGGAGAAGAGAAGGCUCCAUGCAGACCUUUUAGCAGCCUUCCAGUACCUGAAAGGGGCUUACAGGAAAGCUGGGGAGGAACUGUUUAUAAGAACAGGUAGCAACAGAAAAAGAGGAAAUGGUUUGAAACUGGAAGAGGUUAGAUUUAUAAAUAGAUAUCAGGAAGAAAUUAUUUACUGUGAGGAUGGUGAGACACUGGAACAAGUUGCCCAGGAGGUUGUGAAUGCCCCCUCCCUGGAAGCAUUCAAGGCCAGGCUGGAUGGGGCUUUGAGCAACCUGGUCUAGUGGGAGGUAUCCAUGCCUAUAGCAGGUGGGUUGGAACUAGAUGAUCUUAAAGGUCCCUUCCAACCCAAACCAUUCUAUGAUUCCAUGAUUCUAACAAAGAAAGGAAUAUAUUUUCUUUCAUCAUCCUUCUUGCUCUUUUUUUCUCUUUUGAACUAGAUUCCCAAUGUAGGCCAGAGGAAACUUUAUUUAUAUCCCUGCAAUUCAAGGCCCACAAACCAAUUCAUCAUGUUCCUGUUUUAUCUCAUCUGCUGUAAAG
rnacentral:lncRNA from 1 species